GUAUGAGGAAGAAGGAGGAAAAGGAGGAGGAGGUGGAGGAGGAAGAGGAGGAGGAGGAGGUGUACUUGUAUCCCGUGGGAUUGGGAACGGACGUCUCUAUCGGCGCGCUCUUUUAUAAAUAUUUAUCCUCGUUUGAAUCCAUCGGGAAGUUCUUUCUCUGUCUCUCUCUCUCUCUCUCUCUCUAUGACGGCUUCAUCCCUUUCCCGAUUCUUUUUCGUUUCCGUUAGUGGGUCUCCGGGAAAGAAGCUGGUAUGCUCUUCUUGGCUAUGCAACUCUUGGAUUCGGAGACUUUUGCGUGUUUGUUCUCUGAAAUCUUUUAUGGCUCGGAUCUUUGGAUCCGUGACAGUAGCAAGAUAUCACAGGUAUUUUAAAUUAUUUCAAAUGGGAUAUUUUUAUU